AGGGUGGACUUACAUCUAAAUACGAGUAGUGUAUUUUAAGAACACAAAUUAAGUGAACAAAAAUAUAUUUUACAAAAUAAACACAUAUGAUACCUAUGAAUCUCCUUGAAAAAUUAUUAGAAUGGUACCAUAAUAAUAAUGUUACUAGAGAUCAACUUGAUGCACUUUUAAAAAUGUUUGAAUUCGGAAAAUCAAGAUCUUCAGUAGGAUAUUAAGUCCAAGUUUGAUAAUGGAGCUUAAUUAUGACGGUACUAGGGACAGGGAAGGUUUUGCGCCCUACAUUCAUUUAAAUGAAACAUUAUUCGAGUCACAAAGAAGAGACGGUUACCGCUUCACAGACCAUAUUAAAGACCUUCGACUGGCCUUUACUAGGGCCAAAAAUAAAACUUAUAAGGCUAAAAGUAUGGCCAAAAAGAUGAGAGAGGACGAAAACGGCCAGGA